GUUGCCCUAGUAACGGCGAGUGAAGCGGCAACAGCUCAAAUUUGAAAUCUGGCUCUUUCAGAGUCCGAGUUGUAAUUUGCAGAGGGCGCUUUGGCGUUGGCAGCGGUCCAAGUUCUUUGGAACAGGACGUCACAGAGGGUGAGAAUCCCGUACGUGGUCGCUAGCCAUCACCGUGUAAAGCCCCUUCGACGAGUCGAGUUGUUUGGGAAUGCAGCUCUAAAUGGGAGGUAAAUUUCUUCUAAAGCUAAAUACUGGCCAGAGACCGAUAGCGCACAAGUAGAGUGAUCGAAAGAUGAAAAGCACUUUGGAAAGAGAGUCAAAUAGCACGUGAAAUUGUUGAAAGGGAAGCGCUUGCAGCCAGACUUGCCUGUAGUUGCUUACCUAGACUUUUGUCUGGGGCACUCUUCUGCAGGCAGGCCAGCAUCAGUUUGGGCGGUUGGAUAAAGGUCUCUGUCACGUACCUCCCUUCGGGGAGGCCUUAUAGGGGAGACGUAAUGCAACCAGCCUGGACUGAGGUCCGCGCAUCUGCUAGGAUGCUGGCGUAAUGGCUGUAAGCGGCCCGUCUUGAAACACGGACCAAGGAGUCUAACAUCUAUGCGAGUGUUUGGGUGUCAAGCCCAUACGCGUAAUGAAAGUGAACGGAGGUGGGAACCUUAGGGUGCACCAUCGACCGAUCCUGAUGUCUUCGGAUGGAUUUGAGUAAGAGCAUGGCUGUUGGGACCCGAAAGAUGGUGAACUAUGCUUGAAUAGGGUGAAGCCAGAGGAAACUCUGGUGGAGGCUCGCAGCGG
rnacentral:rRNA from 1 species